rnacentral:rRNA from 1 species
CCUACGGGUGGCUGCAGUCGAGGAUCUUCCGCAAUGUGCGCAAGCAUGACGGAGCGACGCCGCGUGGGUGAUGAAGGCCUUCGGGUUGUAAAGCCCUGUUAGCUGUUAUGAACCGCGGGUGGUGAACAACUAUCCCGCUUGACGUAAGCAGCAGAGAAAGCACCGGCUAACUACGUGCCAGCAGCCGCGGUAAUACGUAGGGUGCAAACGUUGUUCGGAAUCACUGGGCAUAAAGCGCGCGUAGGCGGUCUGAUAAGUCCUGUGUGAAAGCCCCCGGCUUAACCGGGGAAUCGCACGGGAUACUGUCGGGCUAGAGUACAGGAGGGGAGAGCGGAAUUCCUGGUGGAGCGGUGAAAUGCGUAGAUAUCAGGAGGAACGCCGGUGGCGAAAGCGGCUCUCUGGUCUGUCACUGACGCUGAGGCGCGAAAGCUAGGGGAGCA